UGCUUACAUUAUUCUUAUGGC
rnacentral:piRNA from 1 species